AGCGCUGAAAGACAGAGCGAGCGCAAAGUGACAAGACCUCCCCGUACCGCCAGAUAACAUCCACAACGUUAUGAGACAACAAAAGCCAAAGCAAGAGCGGAAAUAAGGCGAGGAAAAGAAGGCAACACCCGCUGAAGUUUAACCAGGGACUGCCAUUGGAUCACUUUAUACCGGCACAUGUAAUAUCUUGCUCUUGGUGAUAAUCAUAUGCGCAGAAGCCGUUCUCUGGCCCCACAGUCACGCGUGCAGAGUGGAGGUUGCGCUUGGAAGUGUACGAAACUUUUUUAUUAUUAUUUUGUUUUGUUUGUGACGUUUUGGAAUCAGACGUAUUAGACGUCGACUUUCCGUUAUACUGUGGAUUUUAAAAGCGAAAAAGGAGGACCAGUAUAGUGUGGAUUUUCUCCGCUUUCUUUUCUUUGUUAUUCGUUUAUUUUUACUGUUAUUGCGAUUAUUUAUAGUAUUAAAUUCUCUGGAGGAGCGCUAGCGUUCAAGAAGUUCGUUUUAGUGGAUUCGACGCAGGUGCUUCGGUCCUGAAGGGCAGAAUGGGAUUGUUACUUUGACCCACGAUAUCACACGGUUCAUUCAUAUUCAGCAGCUUCGCUUUUAAUUGUUUUGAGAGCCAAAGACUGUUCAGUGACGCUCGCCGCCACACACCACUGGAAUUACAAUCAUGAACUUUGUUGUCUGUUCGAUACAGUUAUUUUUUGCGGCUCUCCUUCAUCUGUCUGCUGUAAAGGCUUCCCCCAUACCCAAAGACGGGGUAAAGAGCAAAAAUGACGUGAUUCUCUUCAUGGAGGUGUACAAAAAGAGCGCGUGUAAGACACGAGAGGUGCUGGUUGACAUCAUUCAGGAGUAUCCCGACGAGAUCGAGCACACGUACAUCCCGUCCUGUGUGGUUCUCAUGCGCUGUGCAGGCUGCUGCAAUGACGAAGCGCUCGAGUGCGUCCCUACAGAGACGCGCAACGUCACCAUGGAGGUACUGCGAGUCAAACAGCGUGUAUCGCAGCAUAAUUUUCAACUGAGCUUCACAGAACACACCAAGUGUGAAUGCAGGCAAAAGGUAGAAGUCAAAUCAAAGAAAGAAAAAAAACCCAGAGUGGGGAGGGUUAAAAGCCGAAAGAGAGCAAGAGAGGGAGAUUCGGGCGAUCUCAGCGCCUCGGCUCACCUGCGCUCAAGCAGUAUUUUGCUCUCAGUUGUUGGCUUUAUUUUAGGGCAGCUUGUUUGCUCUUUGUAAUCUCAUUUGUCUUGUCGGCUUAAAGCCCCAGUCUGCAUUUAUUUGUACUCAAAUUCACACUGUUGGCCCACGGCCCGCAAAGAGGAAAGCAACCAAAGAUGUGAAAAACCAAGAUGAUGAGCGGCGCGCUGGGCAGAACACUGAAUGAAGGAAUUUUUUUACGGCACAGCACUUUUUAAACCUGAGGAUGCAUUCCCUGGACAAACUACAAACACUACCCUGAACAAAAGACAGACAAUGAAACGAAGGGAAGGAGAUAUCAUCCCGAUGUAUAUUUUAAAGAUAUUAAUAUAUGAAUAUAUAGAAUAUAUAUUAUAUAUAUUAAAUGACAAUGACAAUGUGUGUCGCUGCUAUCACCUACAAAGUAAAAAAAGCAAAACGAAGACGCUGCUUGGCGUGUGAAUGGGAUAUAUUUCAGUGUCACUGCACCUGGGCCUAAGACUGGACAGAACGCAGUGAGGUAAAGCUUCACUGGAUCGGCCCGCUGUGGAUUCAUAUUUAAAGACUCGGAUCGAAUGUCCAAGACUUCGCUGAGAGGUGCAAACGACAGCCUCCAACCCUUUAUAUGAACAGUUACAGACUGUCAGUCAAAGGAGAGGAAGUGACAUAAUAAUAACGAUUCUUUCCGGAAUGUUCGGAACAGUGGGUCCAGGCACGGGUUACGAAUGCGGAACUAUCUUUUUCUGUGAUGUCACUCUUGCUAGGGUGAAGUCUUAGUCAAAAAGACACCUGUACUGACUAACAACCAAUAGGACUUGGUGUGAUAGUACUAAAGGGAUAUUACAUGUAUGUAUAUAUGGAAAUCUAAAAAAAAGGAUAAAUGUGACAAAAUGAUUAUGACUUUUGCUGAAGAACGGACUCAUUCCGUUCACCGCGGUAGAUAUUUAAGUUUCGUAAUGUUUUCCAAAGAGAAUAAUAUUGCACACGACUUUAGGAACUGUUCAUUACCACACAAUAUCUGUAUAUACAUAACUAAUAUCCCUUUGUGUAGUUCACUACAUCUAAUUUAUAAUGUUAGAAUAUGUUCAGUAUUCUGUGUAUUUAAUUUGAUCUAUUUAUAUGCAGUGUUAUUGUUGAUAUUGUUUCGCUUUGUUUCCUAUCGACAUUGUCACCAAUCUGAAAAACUGUGGAUGGCUUUAUAGAACGAAAGACAAAAGAGAGAGAAAUGAACACUUCAACAUUCCUGAAAGCGCCUUUUUAGUCUAUCUGAACGUUUUUGUAUCAGCGAUCAGUUUGGUGGAGAUGCGAGACCUGCUGACGAGGUUUUGUGAUCGAAAAACAAACAUUCUCUUUGCGUGAAAGUGCCAGAAAUUAGUUUUUUUGUUUGUUUGUUUGCCAUGUACACCCACAUUUUCAGUAUAUUUUCACAGUAAUAUAUUUAUUGGUGCUGUUAAAUAUUAACAUCCUUUGUGUUUUUAGUAUAACUAUUAAACAUAUUUAUUUUCAAAUGAUAUUGUUUUUUAUUAAAGCAAAAAUGGAUUUCU